UACGAAGGGGGCGAGCGUUUGUUCGGAAUUACUGGGCGUAAAGGGCGCGUAGGCGGCCCUCUUUGUCGCGUGUGAAAGCCCCGGGCUCAACCUGGGAACGGCGCGCGAAACGGGGGGGCUGGAGUUCGGGAGAGGAGCGUGGAAUUCCCGAGUGUAGAGGUGAAAUUCGUAGAUAUUGGGAAGAACACCAGGUGGCGAAGGCGGCGCGUCUGGGACAGUUAACUGACGCUGAUGCACGGAAGGCCAGGGGAG
rnacentral:rRNA from 1 species